GCCAUUGCGCGUUCUUGGAACGAGCGCGACGGUGACAUUGCAGUGUGUGGCCUCUCGGACGAGAAGACUGGGCUUACGUUGGAUGCAAGUUAUUGUCGUCCGGCAAGGUUUUGAAAAGUGAUGUGAUAGCCACUGGACAUUAGAGCUAUUGAAGACCAGAAAGCCUUAGUGCGACCGGCUUGAUUCAGGUGGCCUAUAUGUAUACCAUUGGGAGAGUUAAAGAAGUUUAGUCCUCUAAAAGAAGCCCUCCGGAAAGUUUACUGCAACAAAGAUUACUCCAAGAGAGCGACACUCGUUAAGGAUGCGAGUAUUUGAAGGUCCGCUUUCAAGCAUUGGACGGCCUGCAAAUUACCAUUGGAGCCAAACUGUAUGCAUUUUCUAGAUGAUCUUAAAUACGGAGCGGUAUUCUAAAGAUGUAGUUGUGCAGUGUGUAGUUCGUAGAUUACGAAACAACGGAGCGAGAAUACAGUUGGCGUUGCGUUUUGGGUCAGUUAUGUUGUUUCCCUUUUCCAUGUUUUAAAGUCGCUGUGCUUUAUGCUCAGGAUCGAAGCGAAAUGUACAGGAGUAGGCUGGGAUGUGAUGCGUGUUGUAUAAAACCAAUGAACCAAAAAUGGCAUCUC